GAUGAACGCUGGCGGCGUGCCUAGUACAUGCAAGUCGAGCGAAUGGAUUAAGGGCUUGCUCUUAUGAAGUUAGCGGCGGACGGGUGAGUAACACGUGGGUAACCUGCCCAUAAGACUGGGAUAACUCCGGGAAACCGGGGCUAAUACCGGAUAACAUUUUGAACCGCAUGGUUCGAAAUUGAAAGGCGGCUUCGGCUGUCACUUAUGGAUGGACCCGCGUCGCAUUAGCUAGUUGGUGAGGUAACGGCUCACCAAGGCAACGAUGCGUAGCCGACCUGAGAGGGUGAUCGGCCACACUGGGACUGAGACACGGCCCAGACUCCUACGGGAGGCAGCAGUAGGGAAUCUUCCGCAAUGGACGAAAGUCUGACGGAGCAACGCCGCGUGAGUGAUGAAGGCUUUCGGGUCGUAAAACUCUGUUGUUAGGGAAGAACAAGUGCUAGUUGAAUAAGCUGGCACCUUGACGGUACCUAACCAGAAAGCCACGGCUAACUACGUGCCAGCCGCCGCUGUAA
rnacentral:rRNA from 1 species